rnacentral:misc_RNA from 1 species
GAUUUAACGGUGUAUUUCCUCCCGGUAUUUUUCGAAAUGGUUAUUUUGACAAUAUGCACAGGGAAAAGCAGGUGUGGACAUUGUAGCAACCAGAAGGGAUGAAUAAAGACUAAUGCAGAGCACUGCCCAAUUCAUGGAUUAGGAGAGCGAGAGAUUUAAGGAUCGUAGGGUCCUGAGUUCUUUCUCCGGGUAAAGCGCGUGUAUGAUAGAAGACGCUAUGUCUGAACAGAUUCGUCCUCCACCUCUGAUUCACUUACACAGUUUUACAGUUACUUGCGGGGAACAGAUGAUACUUUAUGGAUUGUUGUAGCGGCGGUCUUCUGUACUGUCUUGUUCAUCAUUGCAGUAGUUAUUGCCAUUAUAGGAAUUAAAAGGUUUUGUUGCAGACGUUCUGGACCACCAAGAGUAAUACGUCAAAGUGCCGAGAAUCAAAGUCCCGCAGUUAUAAUGUCUGAUAUAGAACAAAAUGACAAUAUUUCUGACCAAAGACAGGUAGAACAAUAUCAAAAUGAUGAUAAUAUGAUGCAAGAACAAGUUUUUCAAAUAUACAAUGAAUCUCCACGUCCAGAACCGUCAGCACCCCCUCUUCCACCGGAAUAUUAUGUGGAAUAUACUUGACACUAGAAUGGAGCAAAAGCUGAACACAGAACAUUUAACUGAUUUUUUAGAUAAAUUUCUUAGAAUGAAAACCAUUCAUAUUUGUGUCAGUUUACCGUUGAUAAUCAUGGCAUUGCUCGCUUUUUGAACAUCCAGUUUUUUUUUAGCUCACCUGUCACAAAGUGACAAGGUGAGUUUUUGUGAUCGCGCUGCGUCCGUCGUCCGUCCGUGCGUCCGUGCGUGCGUCCGUCCGUAAACUUUUGCU